rnacentral:rRNA from 1 species
CGUGAGGAACCUGCCUCAAAGAGGGGGACAACAGUUGGAAACGACUGCUAAUACCGCAUGAAGCAUAGGGGUCGCAUGAUCUCUAUGCCAAAGAUUUAUCGCUUCAAGAUGGCCUCGCGUCUGAUUAGCUAGUUGGCGGGGUAACGGCCCACCAAGGCGACGAUCAGUAGCCGGACUGAGAGGUUGAGCGGCCACAUUGGGACUGAGAUACGGCCCAG